GACGAACGCUGGCGGCGUGCCUAAUACAUGCAAGUCGAGCGAACAGACGAGGAGCUUGCUCCUCUGACGUUAGCGGCGGACGGGUGAGUAACACGUGGAUAACCUACCUAUAAGACUGGGAUAACUCCGGGAAACCGGAGCUAAUACCGGAUAAUAUAUUGAACCGCAUGGUUCAAUAGUGAAAGACGGUUUUGCUGUCACUUAUAGAUGGAUCCGCGCCGCAUUAGCUAGUUGGUAAGGUAACGGCUUACCAAGGCAACGAUGCGUAGCCGACCUGAGAGGGUGAUCGGCCACACUGGAACUGAGACACGGUUCAGACUCCUACGGGAGGCAGCAGUAGGGAAUCUUCCGCAAUGGGCGAAAGCCUGACGGAGCAACGCCGCGUGAGUGAUGAAGGUCUUCGGAUCGUAAAACUCUGUUAUUAGGGAAGAACAAAUGUGUAAGUAACUAUGCACGUCUUGACGGUACCUAAUCAGAAAGCCAUGGCUAACUACGUGCCAGCCGCCGCAGUAACAC
rnacentral:rRNA from 1 species